rnacentral:rRNA from 1 species
CCGGCGACGGCGCACGGUGAGUAACACGUAUGCAACCUGCCCUCUUCAGGGGGACGAACCUUCCGAAAGGGAGGCGUAAUCCCGCGUAUAUCGUUUCGGGCGAUCCGAGAUCGAGGAAAGAUUCAUCGGAAGAGGAUGGGCAUGCGGCGCAUUAGCUUGACGGCGGGGUAACGGCCACCGUGGCGACGAUGCGUAGGGGUUCGUGAGAGGAAGGUCCCCCACACUGGUACUGAGACACGGACCAGACUCCUACGGGAGGCAGCAGUGAGGAAUAUUGGUUAAUGGGAGAGAUCCUGAACCAGCCAAGCCGCGUGAGGGAAGACGGCCCUAUGGGUUGUAAACCUCUUUUGUCGGAGAACAAAACCCGGGACGUGUCCCGGACUGCGUGUAUCCGAAGAAAAAGCAUCGGCUAACUCCGUG